UUCAGCCCUCUCAGACCCACAGCUGAACCAGGAACUGCGCCAGGCUGCAGAGCAUCAUGGGAGGACCCUAUAUAUACCCAGUGGUGCAUUGUGGGGAGGCCAGGAUAUCCUGAGACUCAAUGAUAGUGGAUCUUUAAAGGUGCCGGGAAGGAGGGAGGAGGAAAGAGGACUCAACAAAUACAAUAUGUUUGUUUAUAAGGGAUAGCAUAGUUAAUAGUUAAGUUGGUUACGUUAUGUAGAUAGUUAAGUUAAUAUAUAAGAGUUAAUAUAAGAGAAUGUGUAGACCUCAUUAAUAUGAGAUUCAUUUAUAAGGGAUAGCAUAGUUAAUAGUUAAGUUGGUUACGUUGUGUAGAUAGUUAAGUUAAUAUAUAAGAGUUAAUAUAAGAGAAUGUGUAGACCUCAUUAAUAUGAGAUUCAUUUAUAAGGGAUAGCAUAGUUAAUAGUUCAGUUGGUUACGUUGUGUAGAUAGUUAAGUUAAUAUAUAAGAGUUAGUAUAAGAGAAUGUGUAGACCUCAUUAAUAUGAGAUUCAAUUCAGAUUGUUAUUAAAGGUGAAGAAGGUCAUUGUUCUCUAUUUCUAAUCUCCUGAUAUGUCAGAGUAGAGCAUACAGAAUGGUUAUACUGAACAGAAUGCUGUUACAUACAGAAUGGUUAUACUGAACAGAAUGCUGUUACAUAGAGCAUGCAGAAUGGUUAUACUGGACAGAAUGGUUGUACUGGACAGAAUGGUUGUACUAGACAGAAUGGUUAUACUGAACAGAAUGCUGUUACAUAGAGCAUGCAGAAUGGUUAUACUGGACAGAAUGCUGUUACAUAGAGCAUGCAGAAUGGUUGUACUGGACAGAAUGCUGUUACAUAGAGCAUGCAGAAUGGUUGUAGUGGACAGAAUGCUGUUACAUAGAGCAUACAGAAUGGUUGUACUGGACAGAAUGGUUGUACUAGACAGAAUGGUUGUACUGGACAGAAUGCUGUUACAUAGAGCAUACAGAAUGGUUGUACUGGACAGAAUGCUGUUACAUAGAGCAUACAGAAUGGUUGUACUGGACAGAAUGGUUGUACUAGACAGAAUGGUUAUACUGGACAGAAUGCUGUUACAUAGAGCAUACAGAAUGGUUAUACUGGACAGAAUGCUGUUACAUAGAGCAUGCAGAAUGGUUGUAGUGGACAGAAUGCUGUUACAUAGAGCAUACAGAAUGGUUGUACUGGACAGAAUGGUUGUAAUAGACAGAAUGGUUGUACUGGACAGAAUGCUGUUACAUAGAGCAUGCAGAAUGGUUGUAGUGGACAGAAUGGUUGUACUGGACAGAAUGCUGUUGCAUAGAGCAUACAGAAUGGUUGUAGUGGACAGAAUGCUGUUACAUAGAGCAUACAUAAUGGUUGUACUGGACAGAAUGGUUGUACUGGACAGAAUGCUGUUGCAUAGAGCAUGCAGAAUGGUUGUACUGGACAGAAUGGUUGUACUAGACAGAAUGGUUGUACUGGACAGAAUGCUGUUACAUAGAGCAUGCAUAAUGGUUGUAGUGGACAGAAUGCUGUUACAUAGAGCGUACAGAAUGGUUGUACUGGACAGAAUGGUUGUACUGGACAGAAUGGUUUACUGGACAGAAUGGUUGUACUGGACAGAAUGCUGUUGCAUAGAGCAUGCAGAAUGGUUGUAGUGGACAGAAUGCUGUUACAUAGAGCAUACAGAAUGGUUGUACUGGACAGAAUGGUUGUACUGGACAGAAUGGUUGUACUGGACAGAAUGGUUUACUGGACAGAAUGGUUGUAGUGGACAGAAUGAUGUUACAUAGACCUUAUUUUCUGCAUUUUCCCAAAACCCCUACAAAAACGCCAUUCAUUUCCCCAUAGACUUUGUCCAACGAACCAUGGUGGAGUUAGUUCCUACAAAAAUACUUACUAUUGCUCUCUAUUCCCUUGAAAUCUUAGAGUUUCUGUUGUAUUACUGAUGUACAAAACACAAGUUUUCUAAAUCCCUCCUCUGCCUCUGUUCCUCUCCUCUUUCUUUACUAAUCUCACGCCCCUCCUCUUGUUGUUUGCUUGAAGGCACUGUUCAUCCGGAUGUCCAAGCACCCGUCAUGUUUCCGUCUGACAGGAGACGUGCUGUCUGAUUGGACAGAGGAUGAGGGGAGGCGGGUCUUAUUCAGUGGCUCUGUGGCAGAGCUCUGUCCCGUCGCCCCUAACAACGUCAACACCAUGGCGGCAGCGGCCAUCGCAGCGGGGACCCUGGGUUUCGCUGGCGUCCAGGGGGAGAUUGUGUCGGAUACGGCACUAAGUGAUUACCAUGUGGUGCAGGUGGAGGUUACUGGUGCCAAUGGCUUCUCUCCCUCUCCUAGACUAAGUGAUUACCAUGUGGUGGAGGUGGAGGUUACUGGUGCCAAUGGCUUCUCUCCCUCUCCUAGACUAAGUGAUUACCAUGUGGUGCAGGUGGAGGUUACUGGUGCCAAUGGCUUCUCUCCCUCUCCUAGACUAAGUGAUUACCAUGUGGUGGAGGUUACUGGUUCCAAAGGCUUCUCUCACUCUCCUAGACUAAGUGAUUACCAUGUGGUGGAGGUUACUGGUUCCAAUAGCUUCUCUCCCUCUCCUAGACUAAGUGAUUACCUUGAUGUGGAGGUGGAGGUUACUGGUUCCAAUGGCUUCUCUCCCUCUCCUAGACUAAGUGAUUACCAUGUGGUGGAGGUGGAGGUUACUGGUGCCAAUGGCUUCUCUCUCUCUCCUAAACUAAGUGAUUACCAUGUGGUGGAGGUUACUGGUUCCAAAGGCUUCUCUCCCUCUCCUAGACUAAGUGAUUACCAUGUGGUGGAGGUUACUGGUUCCAAUAGCUUCUCUCCCUCUCCUAGACUAAGUGAUUACCCUGAUGUGGAGGUUACUGGUUCCAAUGCCUUCUCUCCCUCUCCUAGACUAAGUGAUUACCAUGUGGUGGAGGUUACUGGUUCCAAAGGCUUCUCUCCCUCUCCUAGACUAAGUGAUUACCAUGUGUUGGAGGUUACUGGUUCCAAUAGCUUAUCUCCCUCUCCUAGACUAAGUGAUUACCCUGAUGUGGAGGUUACUGGUUCCAAUGCCUUCUCUCCCUUUCCUAGACUAAGUGAUUACCCUGAUGUGGAGGCGGAGGUUACUGGUGCCAAUGGCUUCUCUCUCUCUCCUAGACUAAGUGAUUACCCUGAUGUGGAGGUGGAGGUUACUGGUGCCAAUGGCUUCUCUCUCUCUCCUAGACUAAGUGAUUACCAUGUGGUGGAGGUGGUUACUGGUGCCAAUGGCUUCUCUCUCUCUCCUAAACUAAGUGAUUACCCUGAUGUGGAGGUGGAGGUUACUGGUGCCAAUGGCUUCUCUCCCUCUCUUAGACUAAGUGAUUACCCUGAUGUGGA